AUUAUGUUUGAUGAUAACCUCUUUUACUACUAAUGACUAACAACACUGGUUUGUUUCACAUUUAUUUACUAUCAGCUGUUCUACUAUAAAAUAUUAAUUGGUCUUGUAAAGUUAAAUUACUAUGAAUCUGUCACAAAUAAUACACCAGCACCAAGGAAUCGCUGCUUUGAUGGGUGUAUGGACAGGAUACUUCAUCAUAAUUUGUGGCUGUUUUAGUUGUUUGUUUGUUUAGAUCACCACUUUCUACGCCCCUAUUUGUGAUCACUUAUACAUCAAGCAUUAAUAAAUGUUCUUUUUGGAUUUCUUUGGAGAAUCGAGGGGGUACAUCACACAAUGUUCCAUAACCCCUGCAAUUGCUCCAGCAGUCAUGUGUGUUGAAACAUCGGUGGUAGGAAGUGUUUCAUAGUCUUCAAAGUUCAUAAUAGUCUGUUAAUAAAAAACACUUCACUUAAAACAAUAA